GUAAAUCAUAAAAUGAAAUAUUAUGCAGAUGUUUAAAAGAAUGAGCUAGAUCUCUAAGUGCUGCUAUGUAUAGAGCUCUAAGAUACAUACAGUAGUAUGUAUGUAUCUAUGUAUAUGUUUACGUGAAAAGUGUCUCAGCAGAUACAAAAAACCUUAAUUAUGGUUACCUCUCAGGAGUUCAACUGGUGUGAGGAAUAGCAUAAAGAAGGAUGCCACACCUCUACCACUUGAACAUUGGAAAGUCUACAAUAAGAAUAAAUUGCUUUUAUAAUUUUAAAAAAUAUUACUUAAUUUGUAGCAAAACAUUUAAGUUGAUGAAAACUAAAAAUAGGAUACAAAGUGGUGUGCAUAAUACAUGUGGUAGGCAGUCCCUUGGAUGGCCCGAUCCCUGCCUCUGGGACUCCCCCUUGGGUUCUUGCCUUUCCCUAAGUGUGGGCUGGACUUACUGACUCACUUCUGAUGAAUAGGGCUGUCCCUGCUGAGAUUGGGUUUUAAAAAGACUGGCUUCCAUCUUGGGCUCUCUCUGAUUCUCUCCCUCUCAGAUCACUACCUGCCGUGUCGUGAGGACACUUAGGCAGCCUGUGGAGAGGUAAGGAAGAGGCCUACCAGCAACCACACGAGUCAGCAGAAUCCUUUGGCUCCCAAUCGAGUCCAGAUGACCGCAGCCCCAGCCAACAGCUUAACUGCAACCCCAUACACUUCUGGAAACUAGAGAUGGACACACACUGCAGGGACUGACAGAGAACUGUCACAUCGUCAGUGAUUACUGCACAAAGGACUCUGACUUUGCUGCUCACACGCUUCAGAACCAUCUACGGUGACAGCAAAACUCAGGGAAUAAUGUUAGUCAGUUAACAGCUGCCAAGUUAUGCAAAGGAGCAGAUGGUAUAAUUGAUCAUGUCCUACAAAACGGGGGACGGGAACGCACAAAGAUAUUUGCUCAAACAUGCUAGAGAGGUUCCACACCAAAGGCUAGAAGGAAAACCAUAGUUUUUUCCUUUUGUAUGUUUGCUUUUUACUUCAAGUGAUUCUCUUAUAUCGUAUUUCUUCUUUGCUAACCUGUAGAGUUUUCAGUAUUUAGUAACAUUAGUCAUUUAAAAGAGGGUGUGAAUACACUUUAAGUGUUUUUAGUAAUAAAGAAUGCACAACAGAAAUAUGCCAAGAAAAAAAAGUGGAAUAUACUUAACCCCACUCACAGAUUUUUUUAGUUAGACUAUAAUAGGUCAACUGGAAUACAGUUGCUCAAGGGCUGCUGACCCAAAUAGAAUUGUACAGAUAUUUUACCAAUCAUUGGGCCUCUUUUAGUGAGACUGACAAAAAGUCCAUGCUCGCUUCCUCAGAACGCUUCUCAUUUAACCGAUCCAAAAGCCACAUCUUAAUUAUCUAAUCGUCUCAAAGAGAUUGUACUGCUUAUGAAUUCAAACUCUCAAAUAUUCAUUGACUCAGCAAAUAUUUAUGGCGCAUAUUUUGUGCUAGGCACUAUUCUAGAUGCUAAGUGAACAAAAUAGAUCAAAGAAAGAAAAACAGACAAAGACCCUAGACUUCAUGGAGCUUAUAUUUUUAAAAGUUGGACCUGAAUAAAAAUAAAACAUCCCUGAAACCGUGCUUCUCUUCUCUCUUGAGGGCAGGAGCUACUGUUUCCCCAGCAUCCUGAGCACACUGCCUAGCGCGCCAUGAAUGCGCCACAGGUCCUCCUUUAACCAUUCAACAGCAGAUCCUUUUUCUUAGGGACAAGCAGUGGC
ensembl:lncRNA